GGAGGGAUGGCCGAGCGGUUUAAGGCGCCUGUCUUGAAAACAGGUUGGGGUAUCCCCCCACGUGGGUUCGAAUCCCACUCCCUCCG
rnacentral:tRNA from 1 species